rnacentral:rRNA from 1 species
AGUGGCGGACGGGUGAGUAACACGUAGUUAACCUACCCUUAGGCGGGGGACAACCCCGUGAAAACGGGGCUAAUACCGCAUAAGACCACGUAUUGGGACAUAUGUGGCAAAAGGAGCGAUUCACCUAGGGAUGGGACUGCGGCCUAUCAGGUAGUUGGUGAGGUAAGGGCUCACCAAGCCGAAGACGGGUAGCCGGUCUGAGAGGACGAACGGCCACACUGGGACUGAGACACGGUCCAGACUCCUACGGGAGGCAGCAGUGGGGAAUUUUGCACAAUGGGCGGAAGCCUGAUGCAGCGACGCCGCGUGGAGGAUGAAGGCCUUCGGGUUGUAAACUCCUUUUGCAGGGGACGAUGGUGACGGUACCCUGCGAAUAAGCCACGGCUAACUCUGUGCCAGCAGCCGCGGUAAGACAGAGGUGGCGAGCGUUGUUCGGAAUUACUGGGCUUAAAGGGCGCGUAAGCGGUGGGACAAGUCUGAGGUGGAAUCCGGAGGCUUAACCUCCGAACUGCCUUGGAAACUGUACUGCUUGAGUUAGACAGGGGAAGGCGGAAUUCCUGGUGUAGCGGUGAAAUGCGUAGAUAUCAGGAGGAAGGCCUGUGGCGAAGGCGGCCUUCUGGGUCUUAACUGACGCUGAGGCGCGAAAGCGUGGGGUGCAAACAGGAUUAGAUACCCUGGUAGUCCACGCCCUAAACGGUGG